GAUGAACGCUGGCGGCGUGCCUAACACAUGCAAGUCGAACGGAAAGGCCCUGCUAUUGUGGGGUGCUCGAGUGGCGAACGGGUGAGUAACACGUGAGUAUCCUGCCCUUGUCUUUGGGAUAACUUCAGGAAACUGGGGCUAAUAUCGGAUAGGAGCUCCUGCUGCAUGGUGGGGGUUGGAAAGUCUCGGCGGUAGGGGAUGGAUUCGCGGCUUAUGAGCUUGUUGGUGGGGUAGUGGCUUACCAAGGGUUUGACGGAUAGCCGGCCUGAGAGGGUGACCGGCGACAUGAGGACUGAGAUAGGGCCCAGACUCCUACAGGAGGCAGCAGUGGGGAGUAUUGCACAGUGAGCGGAAGCCUGAUGCGGCGACGCCGCGUUCGUAAUGACGGCCUUCGGGUUAUGAACCGCUUUCGCCUGAGACGAAGCGUGAGUGACGGUAAUGAGUAAAGAAGCACCGGCUAACUACGUG
rnacentral:rRNA from 1 species